rnacentral:tRNA from 1 species
AAACCUGUCGGAAUAGCUCAGUUGGUAGAGCAGAGGACUGAAAAUCCUCGUGUCACCAGUUC